UCCAUCUCUGCCUCUUCCAGACGCGUCACCACUCUUCACCCACCAUUCCAGUGCCGAUCCAUCCGAGGGAGAGCAUCCUCGCUGCCCUUCUCCACUGUUUCUCCAUCGCCGGCUGCGAAUAAGACGAUGGCCGGAAUCGUUGAUGAGCCGCGGUCGUUUCCUCUUCUCUUGCGUUCCAUACUCUCCUCACCAUGCCGAAUAUUUCUUCUUUUGAUUUCAUCCUCUCUGGUGCAGCCAAUCGACGGGAACGCUGCUGUGCACACCGGAGCUUUGGAGCGCGCUCUGCGCACCGCCGCAGCGACAUCGUCGCUGUUGCCAUCAAUCUAGAUCAAGCCGGAGCGAGCCACCACGCCACCAGCUUCACCUCAACCUCCUCUCCAUUUACCCUCAAGAAACCCAUCCAAUGGCGCAGCGAUCUUGGAGGUCGACAUCGUGUUUUCCAACUCCGUUCAACCGCUUCCAUCAUCGAUUCCAUUCUCUCUGAUCGAGCAGCCGACGUCAUCCCUGGAGUUGUGCCAUGCCGCCAUGGAGCUUCGCCGUCGCUGUGAAUCUGCAGACAUCCCCAGCCUUGUCUAGCAUCUCGAUGAUUGCUUAAACGGUGAAGAAGUAAUUUAGGUGCUAACAUUUUCCUGAUUCAAGGCAAGUCCCACCUCCAUCUCUUUGAUCACUUUGAACCUAUGUUUUGGAGGUUAUUGAAAAUGUUUGCAAAUCUUGCAUGUGGAUUGUACACUAAUAAAUUAAAAUUUUGUUAAACUUGUUAGAUAAACUCCUAUUAUUUG